UACAGAGGGUGCAAGCGUUGCUCGGAUUUACUGGGCGUAAAGCGUACGCAGACGGCAUGGUAGGUCGGAUGUGAAAGCCCCGGGCUCAACCCGGGAACUGCAUCCGAAACCACCUCGCUCGAGUAUGGGAGAGGGAAGCGGAAUUCCUGGUGUAGAGGUGAAAUUCGUAGAUAUCAGGAGGAACACCGGCGGCGAAGGCGGCUUCCUGGCCCAUUACUGACGUUCAGGUACGAAAGCGUGGGUAGCAAACAGG
rnacentral:rRNA from 1 species